rnacentral:rRNA from 1 species
UGGGGAAUAUUGGGCAAUGGGGGAAACCCUGACCCAGCAACGCCGCGUGAGGGAAGAAGGUUUUCGGAUUGUAAACCUCUGUUCUUGGUGAAGAGAAGAAGACGGUAGCCAAGGAGGAAGCCCCGGCUAACUGCGUGCCAGCAGCCGCGGUAAUACGUAGGGGGCGAGCGUUGUCCGGAAUGAUUGGGCGUAAAGGGCGCGUAGGCGGCUGUUCAAGUCCGUAGUGGAAGUCCAUUUUUCAAGGGUGGAAGUGCUAUGGAAACUGAGCAGCUUGAGUGCAGGAGAGGUUAUCGGAAUUCCCGGUGUAGCGGUGAAAUGCGUAGAGAUCGGGAGGAACACCAGUGGCGAAGGCGGGUAACUGGACUGCAACUGACGCUGAGGCGCGAAAGUGUGGGGAGCAAACAG